rnacentral:lncRNA from 1 species
UUUGCAUUUGAACAUUCAUACAUUUGAAGAAGAAAUAUAAUUAAUAAUGAAACCCUUCAACUUUUAAUCUUCUUUCAAUUGAAUUGAUGAAAAAUAAACCCAAGAUGAACAUUUGAUUUUUGAUACUUGCUGCAUUCGUAUGUGGAUUUUUGUUCAAAUAUCAAUUUCCUGGCACUAUGCUAUCAAAGCAAAGUUACAGUUGUUUUGUUAUACUUUUCAAUGUUGUUUACAGAUUUCAGUUUGAAUGAUUAAAAAAUCUGUUUUAAAGAUGGCAUUAUUCAUUUUAGGGGGUUCAAAUGAUCUUUUUUAUUUAAAGUUUUUAGAAAGUCAUUCAAUCAAGAAAACAUUGUCUUUGAGAACUAGAUUAUCUCCCUUUGUUUAGUUUCUAGUGUAAAGUAGUGAUGGAAGUGGAUGUCAUUUUGUACAUUAUUUCAUGGAAAUGAUUUUAAAAUUCAUUUGUAUUCAAUUUGAAUUUUCACUAGUCACAAACUCAAUAUGGUUUUAAUACAAAUGUUAAUAAUGUGUUGUGUUUAAAAGUCUUUAAAAUUAUUUGUAAUUUAUAGUAAAUGUUUGAUGCAAUUAUUUAAUACAAUUUUUGUAAGUCUUUGUUUUAUGUUUA